rnacentral:rRNA from 1 species
CAGUAGCCGCGGUAAUACGUAGGUGGCAAGCGUUGUCCGGAAUUAUUGGGCGUAAAGGGCUCGCAGGCGGUUUCUUAAGUCUGAUGUGAAAGCCCCCGGCUCAACCGGGGAGGGUCAUUGGAAACUGGGAAACUUGAGUGCAGAAGAGGAGAGUGGAAUUCCACGUGUAGCGGUGAAAUACGUAGAGAUGUGGAGGAACACCAGUGGCGAAGGCGACUCUCUGGUCUGUAACUGACGCUGAGGAGCGAAAGCGUGGGGAGCGAACAGGAUUAGAUACCCGUGUAGUCCCUGUCUCUUAUAC